CCUACGGGGGGCAGCAGUGGGGAAUAUUGGACAAUGGGGGCAACCCUGAUCCAGCCAUGCCGCGUGUGUGAAGAAGGCCCUCGGGUUGUAAAGCACUUUCAGUGAGGAAGAACGCCUGGUGGUUAAUACCCAUCAGGAAAGACAUCACUCACAGAAGAAGCACCGGCUAACUCCGUGCCAGCAGCCGCGGUAAUACGGAGGGUGCGAGCGUUAAUCGGAAUUACUGGGCGUAAAGCGCGCGUAGGUGGCUUGAUAAGCCGGUUGUGAAAGCCCCGGGCUCAACCUGGGAACGGCAUCCGGAACUGUCAAGCUAGAGUGCAGGAGAGGAAGGUAGAAUUCCCGGUGUAGCGGUGAAAUGCGUAGAGAUCGGGAGGAAUACCAGUGGCGAAGGCGGCCUUCUGGACUGACACUGACACUGAGGUGCGAAAGCGUGGGUAGCAAACAGGAUUAGAUAACCGGGUAGUC
rnacentral:rRNA from 1 species